rnacentral:rRNA from 1 species
UGGGGAAUCUUGGACAAUGGGCGCAAGCCUGAUCCAGCCAUGCCGCGUGAGUGAAGAAGGCCUUAGGGUUGUAAAGCUCUUUUUACCAGGGACGAUAAUGACGGUACCUGGAGAAUAAGCCCCGGCAAACUUCGUGCCAGCAGCCGCGGUAAUACGAAGGGGGCUAGCGUUGUUCGGAAUUACUGGGCGUAAAGCGCACGUAGGCGGGUCGUUAAGUCAGGGGUGAAAUCCCGGAGCUCAACUCCGGAACUGCCUUUGAUACUGGCGAUCUAGAGAUCGAGAGAGGUGAGUGGAAUUCCGAGUGUAGAGGUGAAAUUCGUAGAUAUUCGGAAGAACACCAGUGGCGAAGGCGGCUCACUGGCUCGAUACUGACGCUGAGGUGCGAAAGCGUGGGGAGCAAACAGGAUUAGAUACCCCCGUAGUCCCUGAGCGGGCUGGCAAGGCGCAU